rnacentral:rRNA from 1 species
AUUGAACGCUGGCGGCAGGCCUAACACAUGCAAGUCGAGCGGAUGAAGGGAGCUUGCUCCUGGAUUCAGCGGCGGACGGGUGAGUAAUGCCUAGGAAUCUGCCUGGUAGUGGGGGAUAACGUCCGGAAACGGGCGCUAGUACCGCAUACGUCCUGAGGGAGAAAGUGGGGGAUCUUCGGACCUCACGCUAUCAGAUGAGCCUAGGUCGGAUUAGCUAGUUGGUGGGGUAAAGGCCUACCAAGGCGACGAUCCGUAACUGGUCUGAGAGGAUGAUCAGUCACACUGGAGGUUAGACACGGACAAGAAGAUGAGGGGAGCGAGAAUGGGAAAUUAUAGUGCGAGGCGCGAACGCAGUAUGAAAGCAGGCUGCGUUUGUGAAGAAGUUUGUCGGUUUGGAAAUGACGUUAGGUUGGGAGGAAGGGAAUUCAUUUAAUACCUUGAUGUUUUGAAGUAGCAAAAAGAAUAUGGACAGGAUAACUACGUGCAAGCAGCCGAGGUAAUA